GACGAACGCUGACGGCGUGCUUAACACAUGCAAGUCGAACGAGUGGCGGACGGGUGAGUAAUGUCUGGGAAACUGCCUGAUGGAGGGGGAUAACUACUGGAAACGGUAGCUAAUACCGCAUACCAUCGGAUGUGCCCAGAUGGGAUUAGCUAGUAGGUGGGGUAACGGCUCACCGAGGCGACGAUCCCUAGCUGGUCUGAGAGGAUGACCAGCCACACUGGAACUGGUACACGGGCCGGACUCCUAGGGAAGGCGGCAGUGGGGAAUAUUGCACAGUGGGCACAGGCCUGAUGCAGACAUGCCGGGUGUAUACGGAAGUCCUUCGGGUUGUAAAGUACUUUCAGCGGGGAGGCGUUACCCGCAGAAGAAGCACCGGCUAACUCCGUGCCAGCAGCCGCGGUAAUAC
rnacentral:rRNA from 1 species